UUACGGACAUAUCACGUUGAAAUAUCGGUUCCCAUAUGAUCACCGAAGUUAAGCAACGUUGUGACAGGUCAGUACCUAAAUCAGUAAUCGCUUAGUAAUACCAGGAGCUGUAAG